rnacentral:rRNA from 1 species
GGACUACCCGGGUAUCUAAUCCUGUUUGCUCCCCACGCUUUCGCGCCUCAGCGUCAGUUACAGCCCAGAGAGUCGCCUUCGCCACUGGUGUUCCUCCACAUCUCUACGCAUUUCACCGCUACACGUGGAAUUCCACUCUCCUCUUCUGCACUCAAGCCUUGCAGUUUCCAAUGCGACCCAGGGUUGAGCCCUAGGUUUAAACACCAGACUUACAAAGCCGCCUGCGCGCGCUUUACGCCCAAUAAUUCCGGACAACGCUUGCCCCCUACGUAUUACCGCGGCUGCUGGCAC